rnacentral:rRNA from 1 species
GACGAACGCUGGCGGCGUGCUUAACACAUGCAAGUCGAGCGGUAAGGCCCUUUCGGGGGUACGACGAGCGGCGAACGGGUGAGUAACACGUGGGUGACCUGCCCUCAGCUCUGGGAGUAAGCCCGGGAAACUGGGUCUAAUACUGGAUAUGACUCCACGGUGCAUGCCGUGGGGUGGAAAGCCUUGUGCGGCUGAGGAUGGGCCCGCGGCCCUAUCCAGCUUGUUGGUGGGGUGAUGGCCACCAAGGCGACGACGGGUAGCCGGCCUGAGAGGGCGACCGGCCACACUGGGACUGAGACACGGCCCAGACUCCUACGGGAGGCAGCAGUGGGGAAUCUUGCGCAAUGGGCGAAAGCCUGACGCAGCGACGCCGCGUGAGGGAUGACGGCCUC